rnacentral:rRNA from 1 species
UACGUGCGGUUCAUAUACAUGCAGUCGCAGCGGACAGAUGGGAGCUUGCUCCCUGAUGUUAGCGGCGGACGGGUGAGUAACACGUGGGUAACCUGCCUGUAAGACUGGGAUAACUCCGGGAAACCGGGGCUAAUACCGGAUGCUUGUUGAACCGCAUGGUUCAGACAUAAAGGUGGCUUCCGGCUACCACUUACGAUGGACCCGGCGGCGCAAUUAGCUAGUUGGUGAGGUAACUGCUCACCAGUCGACGAUGCGUAGCGACUGAAGGUGAUCGGCACCUGGAUGAACGGCCUGACUCUUCGGAAGCACGGUAGGAUCUUCGCAUGCAGGGUCGCAGAGAUCCCGCUGGAGAUGAGGGGUUCGACUUAGGGCCUUGUGCGGGAGAACGGCGUCCAUAGGCCC